rnacentral:rRNA from 1 species
AACGAACGCUGGCGGCAGGCCUAACACAUGCAAGUCGAGCGAGGACUUCGGUCCUAGCGGCGGACGGGUGAGUAACGCGUGGGAACGUGCCCUUUGCUUCGGAAUAGCCCUGGGAAACUGGGAGUAAUACCGGAUGAGCCCCUUGGGGGAAAGAUUUAUCGGCGAAGGAUCGGCCCGCGUUGGAUUAGGUAGUUGGUGGGGUAAUGGCCUACCACGCCGACGAUCCAUAGCUGGUUUGAGAGGAUGAUCAGCCACACUGGGACUGAGACACGGCCCAGACUCCUACGGGAGGCAGCAGUGGGGAAUCUUAGACAAUGGGGGAAACCCUGAUCUAGCCAUGCCGCGUGAGCGAUGAAGGCCUUAGGGUUGUAAAGCUCUUUAAGCUGGGAAGAUAAUGACGGUACCAGCAGAAGAAGCCCCGGCUAACUCCGUG